rnacentral:tRNA from 2 species
GCAGACGUAUCGAAGUGGUCAUAACGAGAACGACUCGAAAUCGUUUGUACUGUGAAAAGUACCGUGGGUUCGAAUCCCACCGUCUGCGCCA